GGCAAGUGGAUCUCUGAGUUCAAGGACAGCCUGGUCUAUAGAGCAAGUUCCAGGAUAGUUGGGGCUAUACAGAGAAAACCUGUCUCAAAAAAAAAAAAAAAAAGUCAUAUAUAAGUUUUUGAGGAACUGCCGUUAACAUGGAUUCUCAAGGGAAAAUGAAAAGAUUUCGAGUCUGUGUCCUAGAUAAUCCAUCCGUUACUCCCAUCAAGGGUUAAUUUGUGUUUGGGGGUGGGAGUUGUUGAAACAGGUUGUAACCCAUAUUGGCCUUGAACUCUUUAUCCCCCCUGCCUCAGCCUUCCAAAUGCUAGGUUCACAGCCUCGUGCCUCCCUGACUGGGAUCUGUCCAUGCCAACCCAGGUAAAUCCUCACAGCCCCUGGAAAGGGUUGGGUGGCUGUCGUCAACCUUGUCUUUAUAGGGGAGGCUGAGGUCUCGGACAGAAAAUACUGGUCCGGUGAUUCACCAGGCGGAAAUCUAACUCCAAACUGAUUCCCUCUGCAUCCUCAGUUGUGGAUUGUAAGAAAGCCCAGCACAGAAACUCUGACCAACCGCGUAAAGGCAGGCUGCUAGUCUGGGUACAGUAGCAGAACACCUGAAGCAUCUUGAAGCUCCUACCCGCCCUGUGAGCAGCUAGCUGUCUGUAGCCCACCUGCCUCAGAUUCUAUACAGCUGCUGGCUGUGUGCCCGUAUCAUUUAUAUAAUUUUAGUUCAUGCCCGGAUUCUGUAUUUUGUUAUUCCUCUGCCUCAGGAAGUAAGCCAUGGUUGCUUGGGCAUAUACCCCAUCUUCAAGAUUAAAAAUCAAAUUUAAAUAAAGUCAGGGUGACCUGUCAUCUGGGCCGUGUGUGAACAGCCUAAGCCAGGAUGGCAUCUGGAGGAAGCAUUUCCGUCGUGUGUCCUAGAAUCUCUAGAUCAACUCCCGUGACCCAUGGAGUUCCAAGCCCCCAUCACCUCUUCCAACCUCUACCUUCCUUUUUCCAAAAAAAAAAAAAAUUGUGAGACAGGGCAAGAGGGAGACUUCAUAGAGCAUAACAAAUAACCAAGUGAUCAGUAUCAUUAGAUAAAUGAUUGCUUCACAGAAGGCUAUUGUUCAUCCAGAUUGUAAUAUAGAGAAUUUGUGUAUAGAGAGUUUGUAAAGAUGUGCAAACAUCUGUGCCAUCACCAUUUAGAGAGAUGGAAAAACCUAUAUGCACGUGAGGGAACAAUCUAGAAAGGUGGAACCGAGGUCUUUAAAAUACUAGCCUGUGUAUCUUAGAGGUGUGAGGUGUCAGUUGAAUUUAACUAUGCUUUUUUCUUUCCCUCAAUGGUUAGCCAUUGCUCAAGUCACUUAGAGUCAUCCUUAUUGUUAAGAGAAACACUGGGCUAAGGAUGGAGUUCAGUUGAUAGAGUAUUCACCCAGGGCGGGUAUGCCCAAAGCCCGGGUUUGAUCUUCACUACCAAAUAAUCUGGCUUUGGCAAUGUGCACCUGUGGAUCCCAGCACUCAGGAGGCAGAGUUCAUAGGACCCAAAGUUCAGGGUUAUCCUUAGCCACCAAUAGAGUCUGAGGCUGGCCUAGAAUAUUUGAGACCUGUCUCAAAAGAAAAAGACGGGAGUGGCAAGAUGACACAACCAGUAAAGGUGCCUGUCCGUAAGCCUGCCAACUUGAGUUCAGUCACCAGAACUCACAUGAUAGGCUAGAACUGACGCCAUCCAGUGGUCCUCUGACUGCCGUAUGCACACCGUGGCAUGCAAACAUGUAUGCUAAAUAGACAAAUGUGUUUUGUUUUUUUAAAAGUUAGAGACUGGAAAGAUUUCUCGACAGUUAAGUGUGUUAGCUGCUCUUACAGAGGACCCAAGUUUGGUUCCCAGCAACUCUGUAACUCCCGUUCCAGAUUAGAUGUUCUCCCCUGGCCUCCGAAGGCAGCAGGCACACAUGUGGCACACAGACAUACAUGCAAGCACUUACACCUAUCCAC
ensembl:processed_transcript 5830487J09Rik RIKEN cDNA 5830487J09 gene